CCAAUAGCGUAUAUUAAAGUUGUUGCAGUUAAAGAGCUCGUAGUUGAAUUUCGGGAUCAGUUCGCUGGUCGUGCCUCUGGUAUGUACUGGUGUUACUGGUUCCUCCCUUCUGAAGAACCGUCAUGUCAUUUAUUUGGUGUGGCGGGGAAUCAGGACUGUUACUUUGAAAAAAUUAGAGUGUUUAAAGCAGGCUCGCGCUUGAAUACAUUAGCAUGGAAUAAUGAAAUAGGACGUUUGAUACUAUUUUGUUGGUUUCUAGGAUUGACGUAAUGAUUAAUAGGGAUUGUUGGGGGCAUUAGUAUUCAAUUGUCAGAUGUGAAAUUCUUGGAUUUAUUGAAGACUAACUACUGCGAAAGCAUUUUCCAAGGAUGUUUUCAUUAAUCAAGAACGAAAGUUAGGGGAUCGAAGACGAUCAGAUACCGUCGUAGUCUUAACCAUAAACUAUGCCGACUAGGGAUCGGAUGAUGUUAAUUUUUUAAUGACUCAUUCGGCGCCUUACG
rnacentral:rRNA from 1 species